CUCACCACUCACUCACUGACUCACCCAGAGCUGCUUCCGGUCCUGCAAGCUCAUGGAUGGUCAAGUGUUUACAGACAAGAGUAGAGAAAAAGGGAAACUCAUCAAACAAAUAAUGACAUAAGUAGAGAGGUCUGGCACAUUGAUGUUAUCACCAGAUACGGCUUCAUAGGAAGGAGCAGAGCACAGUGAAGUUCAUGGCUAUGGCGGCCGCUGUAGAGUCCAGCUGCACCCUCAGGAAAGCUGCAAAUGUCAGAACACCGAGUACACCAGGAUCCUGCUCCCAUGAUCCUCAUGGCUUAACUCUCUAUGGCAAGCAAGAAAAAAAAUCUCAAUCCUGUCAAUUGUAUUUAUU
ensembl:lncRNA